rnacentral:rRNA from 1 species
AGAGUUUGAUCCUGGCUCAGGAUGAACGCUAGCGACAGGCUUAACACAUGCAAGUCGAGGGGCAGCGAGGGCGUAGCAAUACGCCUGUCGGCGACCGGCGCACUGGUGAGUAACACGUAUGCGACCUGCCCCCUACAGGGGUAUAACCCGUAGAAAUGCGGACUAAUCCCCCAUAGUCCUGGGUGCUGCAUGGCAUUCAGGGGAAAGGGUUUCCGGUAGGGGAUGGGCAUGCGGCGCAUUAGCUAGUUGGCGGGGCAACGGCCCACCAAGGCGACGAUGCGUAGGGGUUCUGAGAGGAAGGUCCCCCACACUGGUACUGAGACACGGACCAGACUCCUACGGGAGGCAGCAGUGAGGAAUAUUGGUCAAUGGGCGCAGGCCUGAACCAGCCAAGUCGCGUGAGGGAGGACGGUCCUACGGAUUGUAAACCUCUUUUGUCGGGGAGUAACGUGCGGGACGGGUCCCGUAUUGAGAGUACCCGAAGAAAAAGCAUCGGCUAACUCCGUGCCAGCAGCCGCGGUAAUACGGAGGAUGCGAGCGUUAUCCGGAUUUAUUGGGUUUAAAGGGUGCGCAGGCGGCGCGCCAAGUCAGCGGUCAAAGUUCCGGGCUCAACCCGGUGUCGCCGUUGAAACUGGCGUGCUCGAGUGCGUGCGAGGAAGGCGGAAUGCGUUGUGUAGCGGUGAAAUGCAUAGAUAUGACGCAGAACUCCGAUUGCGAAGGCAGCUUUCCAGCGCGCUACUGACGCUGAGGCACGAAAGCGUGGGGAUCGAACAGGAUUAGAUACCCUGGUAGUCCACGCAGUAAACGAUGACUACUAGCUUUCCGGGAUGAUUGAGUCCUGGGAGGCACAGCGAAAGCGUUAAGUAGUCCACCUGGGGAGUACGCCGGCAACGGUGAAACUCAAAGGAAUUGACGGGGGCCCG